rnacentral:lncRNA from 1 species
CUGGGACUGUAGGGUCUCCCUCUGUUGUCCAAGGCUGGAGUGUAGUAGUGCUAUCACAGCUGACUGCAGCCUCAACCUUCCAGGCUGAAGCGAUCCUCCCAUCUCAACCUCCCACGUGGCUGAGACU